rnacentral:rRNA from 1 species
CAGUCGCCACGGUAAUACGGAGGGUGCAAGCGUUAAUCGGAAUUACUGGGCGUAAAGCGCACGCAGGCGGUCUGUCAAGUCAGAUGUGAAAUCCCCGGGCUUAACCUGGGAACUGCAUUUGAAACUGGCAGGCUAGAGUCUUGUAGAGGGGGGUAGAAUUCCAGGUGUAGCGGUGAAAUGCGUAGAGAUCUGGAGGAAUACCGAUGGCGAAGGCAGCCAUCUGGCCUAAUACUGACGCUGAGGUACGAAAGCAUGGGGAGCAAACAGGAUUAGAUACCCCUGUAGUCCCUGUCUCUUAUAC